UGGGAUAGCCUGCGUCUGAGAGAGCUCAGCCUGCGGUUCGCUUUCACAACGUUCCCUGUGGCCCCGCCUUCUCAACCUCCCUUGGCAACCGUCUCCUGGCAGGCUCGGUGGGCUCCGCCUCCUCUGCGCUCGUUGCAGCCUCCGGCCCCGCCCUCCCAGGAUGCAGCGCGCGGGCGGGAGGUUUGGAGACCCGAGACGCUGCGGCUGCGUGGGGCCUCGGGAGUCUAGCGGGUGCUGGACGGAGGGCCUCCGCGUGCCGAGGUUUAAAAGCGUCAACCAGAAUCAAUUUGCAGUCGAAAAUUGGACCAACACAAAGACUUCAUAUUGUGGAAUGACUAGCAAACAAGCAAUGUCAUCUAAUGAACAAGAAAGGCUCUUGUGUUAUAAUGGGGAAGUCCUUGUUUUUCGAUUGUCUAAAGGAAAUUUUGCUGAUGAAGGACCUGCAGAAAUACCCGUAUUACAUGUCAGAAGAAUGGUAUUUGACAGAGGGACAAGAGCAUUUGUUCAGAAGUCCACUGGAUUCUUUAGCAUAAAGGAAGAAAACUCGCAUUUAAAAAUUAUGUGUUGCAGCUGUGUGUCAGAUUUCAGAAAUGGAAUUAACCUCCCUUAUAUUGUGAUGCAAUGCAAUAAAAAGAAUAACGUUUUCAAAUAUCUUCUACUGUUUCUUCACAGUACCAAUAAAUUUGAAAAGCGUUUGAGUUUUAAACUAGGCCAUGAAUUGCUGGAUGGCGUAAGGGUCCUUAAUGGCCCUUUAGUUUUAUGGAGAUAUGACAAAACAUUCUUCUGUAUCUCUCCCGAAACUCACAAAGUUAUUACUCUGUCUGUUAACUUUUCCUCUAUUGAGUGGGCAGGGGAGAUUGCAAAUCUAGGUAUGGUUUUAUUAGGACCAAGGAGAUGUUCAAACCGAAAGCCUUCAAAAUCGGAUUAUGCAUUUCAGAAUACCAAAUUUUGUGUAUACUCUCUUGAAAAUGAAGAAGUAAUAAGUGAUACAUAUAUCAUCCCUCCUGCUUAUAGCAGUGUGGUAACGUGUGUGCAUGUGUAUGCAGCUGAGAUGGUCAACAACCAGUUAAGAAUGUCUCUGAUUGUCCUUACUCAGAAGAAUCAGCUGAUUUCAUUCCAAAAUGGAACUCCUAAAAGUGUGUGCCAACUUCCAUUUGGAGAUCCUUGUGCAGUUCAACUGAUGGAUUCCACUGGAGGAGACCUCCUUUUUGUUGUAUCCUUUAGGUCCAAUGAUGCUUGUGCUGUUUGGGAAAAGAACUUUCAGGUUGCUGCUAAAUGGCAAAAAGUUAGCUUGGUACUCAUAGAUGACUUUAUUGGAAUUGGAACUGAACAAGUACUGCUACUUUUUAAGGACUCCUUGAAUUCAGAUAGUCUGAGUUCAUUUAAAAUAACAAAUCUUCGCAGCAUAAACUAUUCAACUGAAACAUCAGAUUGCUAUGAAGAGGACUUAUUUGAAGACAUACAAGAUAAUCGUUAUUUGGUGGUUCCACCUCUGAAAAGGGGAUUGAAAGUUGGUUUCAUUUCUAUUCAGGAAUUACAGCGGCAUCUCUUGCUUAAGGAAAAAAUGAUUUCAAAAUCUUACAAAGCUUUAAUAAACCUGGUUCAAGGGAAAGAUGAUAGUACAUCAAGUGCAGAGGAGGAAUGUCUUUUUACUCUUUGUGGUGAAGAAGAAAAUCCUGUCCAUACCUUUGAUGAAAAGUUAUCAGACAAUUUUCAAGAUUCAGAACAGCUAGUAGAGAAGAUAUGGUAUCGUGUAGUAGAUGAUAGCUUGGUUGUUGGAGUGAAAAUCACAUCUUCUUUGAAGUUGUCCCUGGAUCAGGUGACUUUAUCGCUGUUGAUGGAUCAAGCCCAUAGCUCCAGCAUUCAGCUUAUUAAGUGUCAAAAUAGGGUGAUCAAGUUGAGUAGGGAUUCUUUCCCAGCACCAUGCUCAGAGCCAUAUGAAAGAGGAUCAGAGGCAAAAAGGAUCAAGUUGACUGUUGAUAGUGAGGAAGAGAAAAGCUUUGUUUGCGAACAACCAUCUGAGAAAGAGUGUGUACAGAUAAUUACUGCUGUAACAUCUCUUUCACCACUGUUAGCAUUCAAUAAUUUUUGUUGUAUUCUGCUGCUACAAAUUAGGAAGAGAGAAAAUGGUAACUAUUUUGAAGAUCAUUAUAUUCAGUGUGGUAGACUUUUUAUAAGUCUAGAAGAUCUUUCAAGUGGGAAAUACCUAGUGAAAUUUCCAAAGAAGAAAACCAUCGAACACGUGGAAGAUCUCUGUGCACUUCUUGCAGCAUUGUACAAAACUUGUUUUCAAAUCACAUCACCCAACUGUGCUCUGACUUCAAUGAAGACGUGGCUCUUAGAACUUAUGAAAUGUGAAGUAAUCAAAGAAUUUCCAGAAAUUUGCUUUUGUAAAAUCCCAGGAAGUUUCUAUGGGACACUCUUCAGUUGGAAACAAAGAACACCAUUUGAAGGGAUUUUAGUAGUCUAUUCCAGGAAUCAAACAGUUUUGUUCCAGUGCCUUCAUAAUCUCAUCAGAGUUCUCCCUAUAAACUGUUUCUUCAAAAAUCUAAAAUUAGGAAGUGAGGAUUUCCUAAUUGAUCAAUUGGCAUUAACUUUGGAGAAGGAAUUGGUUACCCUUGGUUCUCUUUCUUCUGCCUUAGUUAAAGUUGAAAACAACUUGGUGCAGAGGUGUGAAGAAAACAAAGAAAAGAGUAGUGGUGUUGUGGCUACUUUAUCAGACAGAGAGGACAUCAUCCAUCUGUACAGAAAAGAACUUCAGAGAGAAAAGAAGCAAACACUGGAGAUGAACCUAAAACUCAAACCUGGCCCCCACUUCUGCAGACCAGCAGUGAAGAAGGGGACUAGCCUGUAUUCUGGACCUCGACUCACUCUGCUGUCCUGGCUGGCUCCUGAUAUAGAGACUAGAGGCAAAGAGCAAGCCCUUUGGAUUGGCUCUGGCACAGUCUAACUGUUGGUACCUCUGUCACGGCAGCAGGUGCCCAACUGUAGGCUCUUUAUCUCAUGGCUUGUUUGUAUGAGGUUUUGGGAGACCCUCCUGGAGGCCUUGGCAUUGCCACAUUCCAUAACCAAGACCACCACAACCAUGGGAGUGUAUGUUGGUAUGGAGAAACCAUAAAAUCUAAGUGGCAUGGAAAACUGCACCAGUACAUGGAGAAAAGCAAUCCUGCCCAGUCUCCCAGAUCUGCCAAAGACUUUGUAUGAGUAAGAAAUAAUCUUUUGUUGUGCCACACCACUGAGAAUUUUGAAAUUGUUACUGUAGCAUAUUCUAACUUAUCCUGACUAAUACAUCCAAGUUAAUUAGCAAGUACGCUGGAAUUCUUGAACCCCCAAAUUUCUGGGGUGUUGCUUCUGCCUUAGGAAUCAGGAUGUAUUAAUAUUUCGCAUACCUGUUCAUUCACACUGCUUUCUCAAAUUCUUAUUAGCAUGAGGUCCUAGAGAGUUUUAUAAAACUCCAGUGACUCUGCAGUAAGCACCAAAUGUUCUCACAUAUGGUUGUUGGGGCUGUGUGUGAAGGAAUUUUUAAGCUUUGGAAAUACAUUUUAUGUCUGAAAUGAUUUCUGUUGGUACUAAAAUAUGUCCUGAAUUGUGACAUGCCAGGCUGCAUGACUUUUACCUACUUAUUAUGCAAAUUCUAUUUUGUAAUAUAUAAUAGAAAUUUUAUUUAGUUUCUUGAAUUUCUAGAUUAGAAAUGGUGAAAAUUGUAGGAUAAUCGUAAUCAAUCUCUCUCUUCUCUUCCACACACUUCAUUCUCUCUUUCUCCAUAAUUGGAAUCAAAACCAUGUCAUUAUUUCUCUGACCUGUUGGAAACAAUAUACCUUUUUUUGUAAGUUAAGGGUCCAGAAACUGAAGACCAAUCUUUUCUUUUUGAGUUAUCAUCGGUACUCUUGUAACGUUACUUUAUGUCUACCACCCAAUGUGAUUUUUACCAUCCCUCUCUAUAAGUAUAUCUAUUUUAAUUUAUAUCUAACAUGUUUAUUACUGCAUUUAUUUACCUACCCAAAAGUAUUUAUUUACUUCAUAGCAAUUCUAUAACUUUAUUUUAUGAGCUAUAACUGUAACCCAAGAGUCAGCUGCUUGGAAAUCCCCAGUUCUUUCCGCCUUAUGGGAACUGCGUCUCCUUUCUCUCUGAUGUCAAGUAAACUGCCCUGAGACACAAUCCCUUAGGUGAUAGAAAAUCUAACAUGCUGACCAAACUGCCUAGGCAGUUCUGUGCAUCUGACUUUCUUGUGGUCAGUCCACACUGCGGCCUGUUUCCCUGUCACCUCCUGGACCCUGGUGGCUGUUGUCUUCUCUCCACACGAGCUGUGCUCUUUCCAUGACUACAUCACCUCUGGCUUGGAGCACUGCUCUGCACUAGCACACAGUGCCAUUGGGACAGAUUUUUAUGGAAGGUUUAGGGGAAAUAGAGGGGGAUCACGACUCAGAAUAGUCAAGACAAGCCAUAUAAAAUUGAAUCACUGGCACUCCAGUUCUCAAGAACCCCUUGGCCAUCCUCAUUACUAGGAAUUGCUCAGUGGACAUCUUCUCAGACCACAGCAUGUCACCAUGAUGCUGGCUCUCUUUCAUCUUCACACUCUGCUCAUAUAUCCCCUUCCCUCCUUUCUCAGAGCCCUUACCACUCCCUCUCUAACAAACUCUCCUCACCGCACUCCUUUGAAACCCGAAAUUCCCCUUACUCUAGUAUGUACUACAGUUUGACUUUCCCAAUCUUUAGCUCAACCCUGUCCUGCUUUUUCAUUUUAUAAACUUCAACCAGAAAUUCUGCCAAACAAAUUCCAUCUACUCUGGGUAGACAUCCUUUAGAAACAUGCUUUCAGGUUAGUGUUUUCCUUAAUCUAUCACAUUGUUAGGAAUGGGAGUUCCUAAUUUCUAGAACAAGGAAGAAGCAAUAUAAAGUAUCAAGGCAUUUGAGAAGCAUAAGAAGGAGUAGACAACUUUGUGGGUAGGAGGAGUAGCAUGUGAAAGUAUAGGAGAGUUGUUGAGUUGCAGUCAACAGGAUCAGAGUGGUCAGAAUGGGCCAUGUAAUGGAGGCUCUUGGGAAGUAUCACGUGGGCAGAAGGAAGCUACUGAAAGAUGUAAAGGAGCAGAAUGUCACGCUCAAAACUACGUUUUAGAAAGACCACUCUGGUUUCAGCCAGAGUGGAGUCAGAGAGAAAGUUAUAAGACUUUUACUCCAAGAGGAGAUUUAAAAUGCCUGGGCUGAGGCAGGGCAAGGGUAAUGGAGCAAAAUGGAUUUGAGAGCUGUUAAGAAGGUGGGAUUGAAGGGGCUUGGCAGAUGGAUGAGCAGAUGAGUCAGUGAGAGGAUGAACCUGGCUUGAGCAGUUGAAGGAGCAAUGGUGCACUCUCUGAGAUAAGGGAACAAGGAAAGAGGAUCAUUUUGUAGUGGAGGUAGAGGAAACCAUGGAUUCAGUUAUACCCAUGCUUAGUUUGAGGUAUCAAUGAUGCCCCCUUGAAGCUGUCAAGUAGGCAGCUGUAGACCCACAGACACCAGCACCAACAGAUUUAGCAUGCUUGGUUUUGAAUGUUCUUGAGGAUCUUGACAUCACUAAAGCACAAACGUAAAUUAAGAGAUGAAAAAUUGGUGUUUAAGAGUGAAUCAUGUAGCCUAUGAGUGAGACUCACACAUCUACUUUUUUGGGAAUCAGGAUAAUUCAGGAAGGGUGGGGGCUCAGAGACACAAGGGAGAAGUCUCUAGUAGGAUGAGAAGGAGGAGAUGAUAAGUACAAUUUAAGCAUGUGGAGUUUGAGUGGGCAGAGUGACAUAUAAAAGCCACUAAAAAGUCAGGACUGGAACUGUAGAUUAGGGAAACAUAAAUCUACUCCAUUUUGCCAAACCUCAGCCUUUGAUUUCUUAGUUCUGUUAAAUGGGGUGGAGCUGAGAAGCAGCCCUAACGUUUUGAGUUUGCUCUACUUUCUACAAGGUACCCUGUCAAAAUUGGCAGAGGCAGGUAGCUCUUUAACAAUCUGCAAAGAGAUUGAGAUGAGUAAUGAAUUUGGAAAAGAGGAUGAAAUCUAACUGACAUCAGCAGAAUUAUAUCUUUAUAUCUACAUGAUGUGGAUGAAAAACAAGCAUGGGUAUUUGAAGCCAGAAAUGUGCUAAAUUUUCACCUCUGACUCUUUAAUUUUUCUUAUUUUAAUUUUACUGAUGUCUACACAAUGCGCCCCCCUCCAAAAAAAACUUGGCAGGAGUUUCUUCUCCUCCUUAACACUCCUUCACCUCUCCUGCCCCCACCCGAUGUACACACACCUGAAGAGUUAUUACUAGGUAAUCUAACUCAGAAAGACAUUUCAAAAUGUAAUUUCUUCAUUAGUGAAGAAACACGUGGUGAUCAUUUUAAAAUAUUGAGUGACGAAAGGAAUUCCUGAAGUCUUUAAGACAUAGAUUAAACUGGAGUCUUGUCCUGCAAUAAUAUUUGCUGGCGCCAAGUUUAUUGCUGAAAUCCAAGAAACAUCUCUGCUUCACCCCAGCACCAUACAUGCCUGCAGCUAAUUGACAGACAGGCCUUGAAAUCCUUGGGUGAUCUGCACACCUUGUCCCUCGGAAUAAAAGUCACUCCCUUUAGGAGAGCUUCAGCCUGAAUGGUUCAUAACCAAAUCCUUUUGGUUUAUACCAAACAGUAGGUUUCUUGGAGUCAGAGACAAAUUUGUGAGAUCAGGACAGGGCAUGACCUGACUGACUCUUUUCCACCAGUGCAAACAUCUUGGUUCUCAAAAUGAAGAAUGGUUGCCGUAUACUGGAAUGAAGAGAAUUUAUUCAAGUCUCAGCAGUACCUAGAUCUGAAGACACCAGCAUUGGUGCCCUACUUUUUCCAGAAUUUCUUGUAUUUGGUACAUGCUGAGUCUUUCUUCUUCUGAAUAUUUUCCAAGGACCAUGGUAGAAACCACUGCCUAGUAAAGGAAAGGGUUGAUUGGCUGAAGGCCUGUACAUUUCUUGGGUUGUUUGAUUGUCCUUCAGCUUAGAAAACAAAAGAAAGAGAGUACCAGACCCGAUUAUCUAACAUCCUAAUUCACCCGGAUGUCCUACAGGCACGUUAAUUCAGUUUCACCCAAACUGAACUAAUUCUCUCCCACAGAGUUGCUUCUGCUCCCACAUUCCUGUCCUAAUUGAUAGUACCACCACCCACGUAGACACCCAAUUGAGAAGGAUGGGAGUUAUCUAAGACAUCUCCUGCUUCUUCACUAGUCUCCAGAUUUUCUUGAUUCUAUCUCUUCAAUGUCUUGUUUCCAUUCUCUCCUCUGCUUUCCCACCACUUUAAUUAAAGUCCCCACCAUGUCUUACCUGGUCUAUGGUAAUAGUGUUCUUUCGAACUUUCCUGCCUCCAAAUAGCUUACCAUCCCUGAUCUCAGCAAGUGGCCUUGUCUUCCUUACAAAAUGACCCUUCUGUGUUGCAAAUCUGAUUUUUUGUUUUUACAGCUUAAGACUGCUCAUUGAUUUUCCAUGACUACAGGAUGAUGCCCAAACUCUUUAGUGUAACCUCCAAGGGUUUCCCUCUAUGACCUGAUCUCUGCCUUCCCUCCUUACCCUAUGGUCAACAUUCUGCCAUGUGACACCAUGUUUCAGCUGUAUCAUAUGAUGCUAUGCCAUCCUAUAAUAUGCCAAGGUCCAUGGACGUGCUACAUGUACCCUGCGUAUUCCCUUCUCUCUGCCUGGAACGUCCCUCCUCCUCUCUGACUGGGAAACUCCUAGUUAUCUUUUAAGAACAUCUUAUUCUUAGUAGCAGCUAUCCUGUUUUUUUUAACCACACCUUCACCAAAGCACUUACAACAUUGCUUUGCAAUGAUGUUAUCUUUUUUUU